CUCCAUAGUGAGUGUGUUCUCAUGAGAUAUGACAGUUUAAAAGUGUGUGGCAGUUCCCCCAUCUUGCUCUCUCUCCCGUCACCAGAUUUGAAAAACCUAUGGAAAGAGAGAAAACAACUGGCCCAAAAUCUAAGGAUAGAAAGUAUCUCCAGGGAGAAAGGAGAUUUGCACCCAUGAUCAUCUGAAGGUAGAUACAGGUCUGAGCAGACAGACAGAAGCCAGCACAACUGCAGGAGAAAUGAAAUGAGGUUCUAAGCCACCUUACAGCUUAUAUUGGCCCCACCAGUCUUUUUGUUCAUUGGUUACGUGAGUCAAAUUUAUAUCCCUAAAUCCGGAAUAUGCUGCCUCCAGAAUCCAAAGAAGCCUGAGAAGCAUGGUGAUUCCUUCUUAGUGGUGGAAAGAAUGAGUUAUACACAAGAUGAAUGGAUUAACCACUGGAAGACCUGCACUACUACAAAUGUUAAAGAAAGUCCUUCCAAGAAAGAAAAAAGGCAACUUAAUGGAAACUUGUGUCUACCAAAUGGAAAGAAGAGCAAUGGGAAUCCUAACUACGGUACACUGAAGAACACUUUUGCAGCUGACUAACAACUCUUGAUAUUGAGAAAGUUAUCAGAAUUAUUUGCAAAUCUCCUCUCAGAUUUGCAAAGGAUGCUGGCAUUUCUCCAUGAGGCAGGUAUACAAGCAACAUUUUGUGAAAUUGUUUGUCUGACAAAAUUGUGUGAAAUUUUCCAGAAUUAAAACAGCAUGUAAAAUUUAACUUCUAUAACUUUCUUUAAAAUAAAGGAAAACUGAAUGUGAUUA
rnacentral:lncRNA from 1 species